AAAUGUUACUUAUUUCUCGUAUUUUAAAUAAACAGAUAAAAAUUGUACGAGUUGAAGAAAGGAGCAAAAACGGACCAAAAAGGAGCAAAAACCGGGCAAAAAGGCCACACACGUGCAGCACAAGGCCACACGCAUGCAGCCCAACACUUCAUUCCCUCCACAAAGCCAUGGCGUCCAUCAUAAGGGACAUGGCGUGCGUCACCAAGGCUAAAUGCCUUUCUACCAACUUGCUGAGAAAGAAAGAAUCAUGUCCAUCCAUUUAUGAUCACACCAUAUGCUGUUCACCAAACAAAUGCAUGUGGCGUUUUCAGCAUGCAUAAAUUUCAAAUCUCGCCACAUUUGUUUAGUCCCACAUCGGCCAAAACAAAUUCUGCACCACUUGUAUUACACUAUAAAUAUGUGUCCUUUCUUACACUAGACACACAACUUUGUAACAAUUAACUUGUAAAACGAGAAUAUAACUCGUAUAGUUAGUUGGAAAGAAUUCUUAAGCCUUUGCGGGAAUUCUUUCUAAAGUUGAAUAUUAUUUUCUUUUGUGCCGACGUUAUUCCUUGGAGCUUUUAUCCAGAUUUUUAAUUUAUUUUCUUUCUUUUAUUUUUCUUUAUUGUUUUUUAUUUAUUUAUGCUUUAUUUAUU
rnacentral:lncRNA from 1 species